rnacentral:lncRNA from 1 species
CAAUAAAAAGUGAAAUCUAAAAAAAUGGACAUAUAACGAGAUAACAAAAAAUUACUUCUACAAACUUUAGCAAAGAGGAGGAACUUCUUUUGUUACAAAAGAUAGAAAGUUAUAGAAAUAUAAUAAAUAAAUGUGAAGAAUAAAGGAAAGGUCGGUACAAUAUUUUAUUUGUUAAAAAUCAUUUAAAUUAUCCAAAUAAUUGAGUAUCAUGUACAGACAAACUAAUGUUCAUUUGCAUUGCAUAUUUGCAGAACAGAAGGAAAAAAA